rnacentral:rRNA from 1 species
UACGUAGGGCGCAAGCGUUGUCCGGAAUUAUUGGGCGUAAAGAGCUCGUAGGCGGCUUGUCACGUCGGGUGUGAAAGCCCGGGGCUUAACCCCGGGUCUGCAUUCGAUACGGGCUAGCUAGAGUGUGGUAGGGGAGAUCGGAAUUCCUGGUGUAGCGGUGAAAUGCGCAGAUAUCAGGAGGAACACCGGUGGCGAAGGCGGAUCUCUGGGCCGACACUGACGCUGAUGCGCGAAAGCCAGGGGAGCAAACAGG